rnacentral:rRNA from 1 species
UACGUAGGGGGCGAGCGUUGUCCGGAUUUACUGGGCGUAAAGAGCGCGUAGGCGGAAAUUUAAGCGUGGCCUGAAAGCCCCCGGCUCAACCGGGGAGUGCGGCUGCGAACUGGGUUUCUUGAGGACGAUAGAGGAGAGUGGAAUUCCUGGUGUAGCGGUGAAAUGCGUAGAUAUCAGGAGGAACACCAGUGGCGAAGGCGGCUCACUGGCCCGGUACUGACGCUGAGGUGCGAAAGCGUGGGGAGCAAACAGG